AUGAUAGAAGAUGAGGAUUUAGGGUUAAUUGUUAUGAAGUUUAGGAUAGGUACGUGAGUUUCUUCUGAAUGAACAGGGACAGUAGGGAUUUCAGAUCCAAUUUGAGGACCAGUUUCAGCGGAUGCAAUAGUUGCUACCGAUUCAAACUGAGCUUUGACAGUGGGGUCAACAGGUUGAAUCUUGGUAGAGCUAACAGAGGAGAGAACCAGUAACCCUUUUUCAAAGGCUCCGGAACAGUGUUACGUUUCUGUUUCGAGAGGGGAGUUGAGGAUAAGAGAGGAUAUUCUUGAGGAGAUAGAGGGGAGAGUGGGUCGGGAGGGUCCGGUGGAAUGGGGUGAGGCGGAGGGGAGUCACCAGCGGAGGAC
rnacentral:lncRNA from 1 species